AUGUCAGCGACAGUGGUGGAGAGGUGGGUGGGGCUCGGAUCAGCGGUGGCGACCGUCAUCUUCCUCUGGUCCGUGGUGCAGAACUACGUGCCCCCGACCGACCUUCUGCCUCUACCUCACCACCUGCCAAGCUCGCAGCCUCCCUACCUCCAGAUCACCAUUUCCGAGUACGGUGCCGAGCGCUUCCAGCGCAGCGACUUCUUCCUCGCCAUCGAGGCCUACCUCAGCAACGCCUGCACCCGCCACGCGCGCAAGCUCAAGGCCGAGCUCGGCAAGGACAGCAAGAACCUUUGGGUCUCCGUGGACAACCACGAGGAGGUCACUGACGACUUCAACGGGAUCACCAUCUGGUGGUACGCCUCCAAGAGGCAGUCCAAGGCCAACGUCAUCAACUAUACCCCGGCGGACGAGAGGCACUUCUACCGGGUCGUCUUCCAUCGGCAGCAUCGCGACCUUGUCGUUGACUCCUACCUUCCUUUCAUCCUCGACGAGGGUCGCGCUGUCACUGUCAAGAACCGCCAACGCCGCCUCUUCACCAACAAUGCUAGCGGCAGCUGGAACCCCUACUGGGGCAAAAGCGUCUGGAGCCACGUCCCCUUUGAGCACCCUGCCACCUUUCUCGCCAUGCACCCCGAUGAGAAGGAAGCCGUCAUCGACGACCUCAUGGCAUUCCAGGAGAGCAAGGAAUACUAUGCCAAGGUCGGCAAGGCAUGGAAGCGCGGGUACCUCCUUUACGGACCGCCCGGCACCGGCAAGUCCACCAUGAUCGCCGCCAUGGCCAACUUCCUCGACUACGACAUCUAUGACCUUGAGCUCACGGCAGUCAAGAACAACACCGAGUUGCGGAAGCUCUUCAUCGAAACAACGGGCAAGUCCAUCAUCGUCAUAGAGGACAUCGACUGCUCCGUCGACUUCACAGGAAAACGCCGCAAGGACAAGAAGGCCUCAAGCGACAAGGACUCCGGCAACAAUGACAAGCCCAAGUUACCGAUAGAGCCGGAGAAGGACGAUGCCACCAAGGUGACGCUCUCGGGCCUGCUUAACUUCAUCAACGGGCUGUGGUAUGCUUGUGGAGGUGAGCGGAUCAUCAUCUUCACCACCAACCACAAGGAGAAGCUGGACCAGGCGCUGAUUCGGCGGGGCAGGAUGGACAAGCACAUCAAGAUGUCCUAA
rnacentral:rRNA from 1 species